GAUGAACGCUGGCGGCGUGCCUAAUACAUGCAAGUCGAGCGAACAGACGAGGAGCUUGCUCCUCUGACGUUAGCGGCGGACGGGUGAGUAACACGUGGAUAACCUACCUAUAAGACUGGGAUAACUUCGGGAAACCGGAGCUAAUACCGGAUAAUAUAUUGAACCGCAUGGUUCAAUAGUGAAAGACGGUUUGCUGUCACUUUUAGAUGGAUCCGCGCCGCAUUAGCUAGUUGGUAAGGUAACGGCUUACCAAGGCGACGAUGCGUAGCCGACCUGAGAGGGUGAUCGGCCACACUGGAACUGAGACACGGUCCAGACUCCUACGGGAGGCAGCAGUAGGGAAUCUUCCGCAAUGGGCGAAAGCCUGACGGAGCAACGCCGCGUGAGUGAUGAAGGUCUUCGGAUCGUAAAACUCUGUUAUUAGGGAAGAACAAAUGUGUAAGUAACUAUGCACGUCUUGACGGUACCUAAUCAGAAAGCCACGGCUAACUACGUG
rnacentral:rRNA from 1 species